rnacentral:rRNA from 1 species
GAUGAACGCUGGCGGCGUGCCUAAUACAUGCAAGUCGAGCGAACGGACGAGAAGCUUGCUUCUCUGAUGUUAGCGGCGGACGGGUGAGUAACACGUGGAUAACCUACCUAUAAGACUGGGAUAACUUCGGGAAACCGGAGCUAAUACCGGAUAAUAUUUUGAACCGCAUGGUUCAAAAGUGAAAGACGGUCUUGCUGUCACUUAUAGAUGGAUCCGCGCUGCAUUAGCUAGUUGGUAAGGUAACGGCUUACCAAGGCAACGAUGCAUAGCCGACCUGAGAGGGUGAUCGGCCACACUGGAACUGAGACACGGUCCAAACUCCUACGGGAGGCAGCAGUAGGGAAUCUUCCGCAAUGGGCGAAAGCCUGACGGAGCAACGCCGCGUGAGUGAUGAAGGUCUUCGGAUCGUAAAACUCUGUUAUUAGGGAAGAACAUAUGUGUAAGUAACUGUGCACAUCUUGACGGUACCUAAUCAGAAAGCCACGGCUAACUACGU